rnacentral:rRNA from 1 species
UACGUAGGGCGCAAGCGUUAUCCGGAAUUAUUGGGCGUAAAGAGCUCGUAGGCGGUUUUGUCGCGUCUGCCGUGAAAGUCCGGGGCUCAACUCCGGAUCUGCGGUGGGUACGGGCAGACUAGAGUGAUGUAGGGGAGACUGGAAUUCCUGGUGUAGCGGUGAAAUGCGCAGAUAUCAGGAGGAACACCGAUGGCGAAGGCAGGUCUCUGGGCAUUAACUGACGCUGAGGAGCGAAAGCAUGGGGAGCGAACAGG